ACUCCUAGGGGAGGCAGCAGUGGGGAAUUUUGCGCAGUGGGCGAAACCCUGACGGAGCGACGCCGCGUGUGAGAAGAACGCUUUGGGCUCGUAAACCAGUGUCGAAGGGGACGAUAUUGACGGUACCCUUGGAAGAAGCCCCGGCUAACUACGUGCCAGCAGCCGCGGUAACACGUAGGGGGCAAGCGUUGUCCGGAAUCAUUGGGCGUAAAGCGCUCGUAGGCGGAUUUUUAAGUCUGAGAAGAAAGA
rnacentral:rRNA from 1 species